rnacentral:misc_RNA from 1 species
GAUGAAGAACGUAGUGAAAUGCGAUAAGUAGUGUGAAUUGCAGAAUUCAGUGAAUCAUCGAAUCUUUGAACGCACAUUGCGCCUUCUAGUAUUCUGGGAGGCAUGCCUGUUUGAGCGUCAUUAAACCUCUCUCAAGUAUGAUUACUUGGAUGUGAAGGAAGAGUACCUUAAACUUAAGGAGUGUUCUCCUUUGAAAUUGAUUAGCAGAUGGUAAUGUUAUUAAAUCCCUGAUGUUGUAAGAAAUAACAGUGGUUUUGUAGACUAUUAUCUAGCUUUAAAUUAUAAUUUUUAUUAUGGUUGACCUCAAAUCAGGUAAGGAUACCCGCUGAACUUAAGCAUACAAUAAGCGGAGGA